AACGAACGCUGGCGGCAGGCUUAACACAUGCAAGUCGAGCGCCCCGCAAGGGGAGCGGCAGACGGGUGAGCAACGCGUGGGAAUCUACCCAUCUCUACGGAAUAACGCAUGGAAACGUGUGCUAAUACCGUAUACGUCCCUCGGGAGAAAGAUUUAUCGGAGAUGGAUGAGCCCGCGUUGGAUUAGCUAGUUGGUGGGUUAAAGGCCUAUCAAGGCGACGAUCCAUAGCUGGUCUGGGAGGAUGAUCAGCCACCCUGGGACUGAGACACGGCCCAGACUCCUACGGGAGGCAGCAGUGGGGAAUAUUGGACAAUGGGCGCAAUCCUGAACCAGCCAUGCCGCGUGAGUGAUGAAGGCCCUAGGGUUGUAAAGCUCUUUCACCGGUGAAGAUAAUGACGGUAACCGGAGAAGAAGCCCCGGCUAACUUCGUGCCAGCCGCCGCCGUAACAC
rnacentral:rRNA from 1 species